GUUUCCGUGGCUUAGCGGUUAUCACGUGCGCCUCACAAGCGUAAGGUCCCCGGUUUGAUCCAGGGCGGGAGCA
rnacentral:tRNA from 1 species